rnacentral:lncRNA from 1 species
UUUUUUUUUUUGUCUUUUUGCUAUUUCUUGGGCCACUCCCGUGGCAUAUGGAGGUUCCCAGGCUAGGGGUCGAAUUGCAGCUGUAGCUGCUGGCCUACGCCAGAGCCACAGCAACGCAGGCUCCAAGCCGCGUCUGCAACCUACACCACAGCUCAGGGCAACGCCGGAUCGUUAACCCACUGAGCAAGGGCAGGGACCAAACCUGCAACCUCAUGGUUCCUAGUCGGGUUCGUUAACCACUGCACCACGACGGGAACUCCAAGUAUCACUUUUUAAAACUGACAAGAAAUGAAUAAGAUCUAUAUAAAGAUACUCUGAAACUUGACUUAAUUACAUGGAUUUUUUAGUCAUUUUAAUGUGAUUUAAUAUAAGAAAGUAACAAUUAUCAUAACAUUAUUCUAUAAACUUACUUCACAUACUAAUAGUAGUUCUUUUGUUAGUCUUCUAAUUUUUAUUUUUGUUUUGGAACUAGGCAAACUGACACUAAAAUUUAUAUGGAAAUUUUACAUUUAAAAAAGACAGAAAAGAUUAGAGUGGUAACUAGCACUACUAAAUAUUUAAGCAUAUUUUAAGAUUAUAUUAAUUCACAGUUUGAUGCUGGUGCCUGAGUAGAUAAAUGAUAUAAAAUAUGAAGUCUAAAAUACAAUAAAACACAAAUAUUUGCUUAAUGGAUAACAAUGAUGGCACUGAAAACCAUUAAGAGAAAAUAAAUUUCAAUAAAUGCACUUUAUAUAACUGGAAAACAAUCCAGAUGAAAAACAACCACAAAACAUGAUAAAAGCGAAGUUGAUUCCAUAUCACUUCUUACUCCAGAAAAAAUUCCGGAUUUAGCAAAGAUUUAGACAUGACAACAAAUAAAAAUGCACAAAAAUUACUCCUUAGGAAAAAGUGUUUUAAACAGCAUCCAAAAUCCAGAGACUAAAAGAGACAAUAUUGAGGAAGAGAAUAAAUAUUAGCAAUCUGUGGAUGUCAGAAACUAUAAACAAAGUCACAGAUAAGCAGUACCUUGGGAUGUGUGAUAUAUUAUAGAAACCUUAUUUUCUUAAUAAGGAAAGAACUUCAAAAUCAGUAAAAGAAAAAAAAAAAAGUCAGAAAAGAAAAUGAGUGAACAAUGGACUACAGCAGAUAAAUACCUGGUAUUUAAACCUAUGGUCUACCAUUAAUUGCACUCAUAUGAAGAUAAAUGUUAAUUGAAAAUAAAACGUUUUUUUCAGCAUUAAAAGGUUAAAAAUUAAAAAGUUCCUUUUGUGAAUUCCCUUCUGGCUCAGUAGGUUAAGGUUCCAGUGUUGUCACUGCAGCAGCUUGGGUCACUGCUGUGGUGCAGGUUUGAUCCCUGGCCUAGGAACUUCCAGAUGCCACGAGUAUGGCAAAAAAAAAAUCCUUUUGGUAAGGAUGUGUAGAAGUGGGAAUUGUAAGAUAUUUUGUGUGAAAACAUAAAUUCCUAUACCUUAACAGAAGGGUAAUUACUCAGCACCUAAGUAAAUAGUGUUCAUAGCAUUGACCAUAAAUUUAUUUAGAACAUAUCCAAAGAUAUACUUGUCAAAAUGUGUUUUAUUUACUGCAACUUUAACUAUUGUACAAAAUAUCAGAAAGUGUCUAAACGUUCAUCAAAAAGAGGUGAAAUGAAUAAUUACAUUGCAUCAUAAUUGCCUCUGAUUUAGUUUUCAAAGGUGGCAAAGGUAUUUUUUUCACUAUAUUUUUCUAUUUUAUGUUUUACUAAGUGCAAAUAUUACCUUUUAAAACAUACAGACACAGAGACACACACACACACACACACACACACACACACAAUGGGAGUAAUGAACAAUGGAGAGUAAAAAGCAGAAAGUACAUAUAAUAAAGCCAAGAGUGAGAUUGACUCAGAAAAUGUAUGAUAAUUUAUUUUAUGCAGCCUAAAUAUUUACAAAGGUGGGACCCAAAUGUCUUCAUUGUGAUAAUAAGGGCAUAGCCAUUUAACAAAUUGCUGACAAUAAGAUUAAGAAUAAAAACAAUUUGUAAAAGAAGCACAGCUAUCUGUGAUACCGAAAUGUUUCUGUUGGAGUAAAUGAACAUUUAAUAAAGAUGUUAACUAUAUCCUAACACUUAACUAUAUCCUAACAUUAGAAAGCUACAUAAUUUAAAAAAAGCUCUCUCUUUAUACAGUUUUCUUUAUCAUUCCAAAGCUUAUCUCAGGUUUUUAAAAAUGUACCUUAUAGGAAACUAUUAUGAUGGAUUUCAGGUUUCCUGACUUUAUGCCUUAAUCCAGUAAUUCAAUUGAACGUGUAGAAGUUUGGAAGAACAUGCGUGUUAUUUUUCUCCACUAAGGAGUAGAGUAAUAUUCUACAUGAAAUACAGGAAUUCUAAGUUCUAGGAGAGCUGCACAAAUCAGCAAAAUCGGGGGCUAGGAGACUGACUGCUUUGUGAAAACCAAAGAGCUACUAGGACAUUCAUCUCAAUGAGAGGCAGUGCCAUUUUAUAUUUAUAUCGUGUAAGGUCUGUGCAGUUUAUCAAACCCUCUAAUAUAAAUUGGCAUGUUAUUUUUGACUGGAGCAGCAACUCCUAGUAGCAAGGAAGUUAUUACUAUAAAUGAAGAAACUGAUUUUGGAUGAUUUGAUCACUGUCAAAGGAAUAGGUAAAUGACAGAGCCAGUUCUGAAUGAUACUAGGCCUCAUUUAUAUUGCACAUAUCUUAUAUACAUAAAUUUAUAAAAUAUAUACAUUUCCUCCCUUGUGCAUUUUUUUGCUAUUUUUUUCCUUAUUCAAAAUCUGAUUAAUUCUUUUAUGACUUCUAGGAAUCUUUUUGUUUGUUUUUUGUUGGAAUGGAAUUUUUGAUACAAAGAGAACAAUAGCUAGAGAUAUGGGGUCAAAGAGGAAUACACACCCACACCCACCCCUUACACACAGAUGCACAAACUUCUAAGAAGAGAUAUAUAUACGAUUGCUGUUGAAGGAAAAGGGAGAUUUGGGGGGGGGGAUAAAAAAGGAGAAAAUGAUAUCUAGUGUGUAGACAUACCUGAGAACACAAAGCAAGAGAAAAGUCAGAGAAGAAACAGAAUGUUCAGCCUUUGAAGGAGACUUUUCUCACUCAUUAUAGGGGAGAAAAGAAGAUGGGUGGAGAGAACUUUUGCCAGUAGGUCCUUAAUCUGCAUUCUUUAAAGGUAAGUACCAAGCCAAUGUUCAGAUUAUACUGAAUCACAAGUUUUAUGACAAAUACACUUUAUUUCAACACAUAAUGAUACUGAAAUGAUCAUUUAUAUAUAUAUUUGUAUAUAUUAUAUAUAAACCUGUAUUAGUACUAAAGAAAAUGAUGUAAUAAAUAUGUCAUAGUUUUAAAGAAUUUAUUAAAGGAAUAAAAAGGCAAUCAAGCAAUGUUCAGAAUGGACUUAAGGGCAUAGUUAGCUUAGUGAUGAAAAUAUUUGAUACAGUAAAAUAAAAUUAGGUAUCUGAAAGAAAUGUGUAAAUUCUUAAGCUUUACAGACAGGACAAGCUUUACUGUGAACAUGUGUGUACUUCUUUAUCCCCUUUGGGAGACUGAAAGCAUCCUAAGAGUGAGAACCUUCUUUUCCAUGUGUCUUUUAUAAUAUGUUGUUUCAUUCAUGACCAGUAUCAUGUGCAGCCUUUACAUUCCAACGCUAAAGACAUUGGUUUCUGAUACAAAUAUAUACCAAAGACUUACAUGUUUAUUUGUUUACUAAACCACUUUUUUUUUUCCUGCUUUUUAGGGCCACACCCGUGGCAUACAGAAAUUCCCAGGCUGGGAGAUGCAUCAAGAGCUACAGCUGCCAGCCUAAGCCACAGCCACAGCAACGCAAGAUUCGAGCUGCAUUUGCAACUUACACCACAGGUCAUGGCAACUACAGAUCCUUAAUCCACUAAGCAAGGCUAAGGAUCAAACCUGCCUCCUCAUGGAUCUUUGUCGGGUUUGUUACCUCUGAGCCACGACGGGAACUCUCUGAAAUGAAAUCUUUAACUGCAUUGGCUGUGUCACUUACAAGUUAAGUGAGCACGUUGCUUAGCAUAAAAUUAAUAAUAACCCAUGGAUUUUCAUGAAGAUCUAAUGAAAUAUUUCAUAUAAGGCACAUAGAACAAUGUGUAGCACGUAGUAAACUUGCUGUAAUGGGAGCAACCAUCACUUAGUAGUCAUCAUCAACUGACUGACUGAUGAAUAGAUCAGCUGAUGACGAACUUGACUAAAGGAAGAAAUUAUGUACUCUCUUUCAAAACACUGGAGAUGGGAAUAUUCUGGUUGUUCAUUAGGUGUCAUACCAUGCUAAACUUUAGUAGGUAAUGCUCAAAACAGCUACUUUUACUUAGUUCAUAACUUUGAAAGUAACCACAUUAUAGUCUUUCAAGGUAAGAUACAACUGAGAAAGUUUCCAUCAGGUUUAGUCUUAUGAUUUGACUUGCCCAAAUGUCCACAUCUAUCUAAAAAUGGACUCAAGGUUUCCUAUGAAUUCUAUGCCAUUCUCCAAAAGGAGACCUUAGCUACAAGACUCAAGACUACCUGAGAAGUACAACCUCUCUUUAAGAAACACAAUGCAUCUUGGAUCCAAAUCACUUUUUACAACUCUUCCAUUCAGUACAUGACUGAAAUAAAGAUCAAUUCACAUUCCAGUCUCUCUACAGAUAAAUAAAUGAUGAGCAAUAUCUCCAAGGCAGGUGGAGCUCUUGGUGAUGGAAAAGCUGAAUGAAUACAUAAGCACACAUGAAAGACAGAUUUUGAGCACACAUCCUAAUUCCCUUUGGUCUUCCCAGGCACAUCAUCUGAUGUCAAAAAUUCUUUCUGUGGAGGAAUUUUCUGUGAGGUUUCCAUGGUAUAUGUAGGUUGCUUUCCUAUUAUUGUUGUCUAAAGAGUAAUGCAAUACAAGAUUCCUGUGGAGCUAAAACAACUGACUUACCCAGAUAUAGGGUUUUUUCAGGUUGCAAAUAACUUUUAUUAGAAAAAAUUAUCAGAAGUACAUUACAAGAUCUGAAUGAACUCGUUAUUUUGCAUAUAGAAAAUUCUAGGUUGAUAUUAUGGAUAAAAAUCAUUUUACGAAAAAUCCUCAGCUCUAAAUUCUUAGUGUCACCAAAUCAUGAAAAAUAAUUAAAUCCACCAGAAUAUACGUUGUCAAUUUUUAAAUAUGUAAAUGACCAUCGGUAUGCAAACAUCAAUCUAUGUAUCUAUCUACAUAUCAUAUAUAUUCAUAUCUAUCUAUAUCUAUCUACCCAUCUAUACCUAACUACCUACUUAUCUACCUAUCAUCUGGUUCAGAUUCAAUUAAUUUCACGAUGAGAGAAAAACUAAAGAAAUGAAAAGGACAUCCUCACGAUUAUAGAUAGAGCCAGUGUUGAUUCUUCCAUUAAGAUACAGCACUGAUGUAGGUCAUAAGAAUUCUUUCACUUACUAUAAUCAGGAAUUGCCUCCUGGGUACUCAACACAGAAGGAAACACAUGUAGAUAUUUAACAGGUAGUAUAGGCAGUGACUAAUUCAUUCUUAACCCACAUUUAAACACAUGUUUAGCAAGCUUUCUCUCAUUUCUACUUCUGAUAAGAGCAGCUCAUUUGAUUUAAUGUUGUCACUGAGUUAACAGACAUGUCCUCACAAUCGAAUAUUAGGAUCAAAAAAGCAUUGAGAUUGAUCACAUGACUGAUUUUAAAAAACAAAACAUAAUUGACUCAUGUGCCCAUAUUACUACUUUUUAAUUAGUUCAUAUUUCCCUCCCUUUUGUAGAAUGAGGUAAAUUCUAAUAUCUUAAGCAAUCUAAAACUUUUUUUCUUAUAAAAACACAAAUGUAGACAAGCAGGUGAAAAAUAGCGAAAUAAAUGGGCUGUUUGUUUUUUUGGUAUUGAGCUGCAAAAGGUGUUUACAAAUUUUGGAGAUUAAUCCCUUGUCCGUCGAUUCACUUGCAAAGAUUUUCUCCCAUUCUGUGGGUUGACUUUUCAUGGUUUUUUUAGGGUUUCCUUUGCUGUGCAGUAACUUUUAAGUUUGAUUAGGUCCCAUUUGCUUAUUUUUGUUUUUAUUGUCAAUACUCUAAGAGGUGGAUCUGAGAAGACGUUGCUGUCGUGUAUGUCAGAGUGUGUUUGGCCUACGUUUUCCUCUAAGAGUUUUACAGUGUCUGGUCUUAUAUCUAGGUCUUUAAUCCAUCUGGAGUUUAUUUUUGUGUAUGGUGUUAGGGAGAGUUUUAACUUCAUUCUUUUCCAUGUGGCUGUCCAGCUUUCCCAGCACCACUUAUUGAACAGGCUGUUCUUUCUCCAUUGUAUAUCCUUGCCUCGUUUGUCAUAGAUGAGUUGGCUGUAGCUGCAUGAGUUUAAUUCUGGGCUUUCUAUCCUGUUCCACUGAUCUAUAUUUCUGUCUUUGUGCCCGUACCAUACGGUUUUGAUGACUGUUGCUUUGUAGUAUAGUCUGAAGUCCAGGAGCCUGAUUCCUCCAGCUCCAUUCUUCUUUUUCAGGAU